AUUUCAGAAGCAGCUGGCGCUCCAGACAGAAAGCAGAAUGAUUAUUUUAGCCUUUGUGGGACAGAGGUCACUCAAACCCAGGCCAACUGUGGUCACCUGUGCAACCAGCAUACAUGACAGGAUCAGGAUAUUCGGUGUAUGGCAGCUCAUCUCUGAGAGUGGCCAAGCAAUGACACCACUGUUAAACCUGCAAUCCAAAGGUUAGAAAAAAAAUAAUAAACCGUUUUAAAAAAAAAUGAAAUAUGUGGUCACAGUUAAAAGGUUUGCCAAUGAAAUAGCAGCUCACAUGUCCAGCUUACCUUAGCAUAAAAAGCAAAAAUAAAACAACUUGACUCCCAACAGGCGGCAUGAGGACCUGGGACUGUUGUGGAGGCCCUUUCUAAUAAGGUUGCGGCCCUCCAUGACAGUCCCAACUCCUCAUGUGGCCCUUUAGGGAAAACUAAUC